AGGAGGCAGAUGGUCUGCAGAGUGAGUUCCAAGACAGCCUGGGCUACACAGAGAAGCCCUGUCUCAAAAAGAACAACCAACCAACAAACCAAACCAAACCCAAACCAACCAACCAACCAAGAAAAGAAAAGAAAACGACAAAAAGAACUUGAUGGCUCUGCUGUUUCUGUGCCCUGUGUGUGAUAGCACUAUCUCAAUUCCUGCAUGAUGGCACUAUCAUCUCACUUCUGCUUUUGUCCACCUCGACCCUGUACUCAUAAUUUCCAUGUGGUCCUCACACUGAGGACAAAGAGGAAAAUAUAUUGACCAAGUACAUGGGACUUUGAUGCUUGAAUUCCUUGAUUCAACUCUCUCUCUUUCCCUCCUCUUCCUCCUCCUCUUCUUCCUCCUCUUCUUCCUCCUCAUCCUCCUCCCUUCCUCCUCCUCCUACCUCUUCCCUUCCCCUCCCCUCUUCUCCUCUCUCAACGGGGUCUCUCUUUCUCAACAGGGUUUCUUUAGGUAGCCCUGAAGCCCUGACUCUCCUGGAACUCACUAUGUAGACCAAGCUGUCCUUGAACUCACAGUAUAAAGGUCUGGGCCACUACACCUGGCUUAAGAGGCGGGCGGUUGGGUUUUUCUGUUUGUUUGUUUGUUUUUUGUUUUUUCUUUUGCUCUCCAAUCCAAAAGAUUCCAUUCUUGUUUGUUAGUUUGUUUUGUGUUUGAGAUAAAGUCUCUUUACGUAGUCCUCACUGUCCUUGAACUUGCUAUGUAUACCAGAAGGCCUUAAACUCACAGAAAUACACCAGCCUCUGCUUCCUGAGUACUGUGAGUACUGGCCUGGCCCACCACACUGUGGUUUUGUUUUUUGAGACAGGAUCUCCUUGUGACCUUGGCUAGCCUUGAACUUGCUAUGUAAAUGAAGUUGAUAUUUUACUCUCUUGUCUCCGUCUCGCUAGGGCUAGGCUUAUAGCUGUGUCUCACCAUGGCCAGCUCUGGAUUCAAGUGCUUUUAUUAUUUUAUUAUUUUUAACUGUGUGUAUGUGCAUGGAAGUACAGUGUCCAAAGUGUCCGGAGACAUCCGAGCUCUUAGAGAUGUUACAAGUGGAUGCUGGGAACUGAACUCAGGUCUUCUGGGAAAACAAUAUUCGCUCUCUUAAUGCUGAACCACCUCUUCAGCCCUGGAUCCAAAUUCUUAAAUGCCAGCUCUUUUCAGUAAUCGUCUUCCAGCAAUAGCAUUCAGUCACUAUGGGUCUUUAGACAAGCUCAGUCUAUACACUUGCAUAUGCUGGUCCCAUUUGCCCAUAAUUUUCUCUUUCCCUUGCCUUUGGUUCCAAUCUAAUUCAUCCUUCAGGGCUGCAAUAAACCAUCAGCCUAACUUUAAUUCUGUGUCCUUGGCUCCUUUACCUGUAAAAUAGGAGUAGACCACAUGCCAGCCCAAGGAUUGUGAGGCUUAGACAUGGGACGCACUUGGGACGAUGCCUAGUGUACAAAGAAAACUGUGCCCAUGUUGGUCUUCAUAGAUCCUGUAAUCUGUGUCCCCACGUACAGUUUUGUUCUUCCCUGCUGGAGGGGUAUACACUUGAUACAGACAUUGCAUUCCCAUUUUGUACAUUUCAAGUGUAGAUUAUUUUGAGAUAGGUUUAGAUUUACAAAAAAAAAAAAAAAAAAAAAAGGUAUAAAAAGGCUGCAGAAAUAGCUCCGUGGUUAAGAGUCUUUGCUGCUUUUCCAAAGGACCUGGGUUCCGUUCCCAGAGUUCAGAUCAGGUGGUUCACAAGCACCUGGAACCCCAGCUCCAAGAGACCUGAUACACCUUUCUGCUUUUCUGAGUGCACAAACACAUGUGCACACACAUAAGCAUAAUUAAAAAAAAUCCUUAAAAAUCAAAAAACGAUCGUGUGGCUUUCAUUUGCCCUCCACUUACGUUCCCAGAAGUUAAUGGCUCAUGUGUGAUACCUGUAGCAAAACUAAGAAGUCAGCAUUCCUAUAUCACUAGUACAUGAACGGCAGAAUUUAUGUGGAUUCUCUCAAGUUUCUCACUUGUGUUUAUUUUCUCCUCUAGGAUCCAAAUCGGGACACCACGUGGCAUUUAAUGCAAGUGGCCUUCUAAUACCAAUGACAGGCUGUAUGCAUGAGAACCCUUCCCUGGCCUGCCAGACUGAGGCCAUUGUCACGGCCUCUGCCAUGCCUGUUGGAUCUAGCCUGCUUCUGGAGCCUUACGGCCCUCUGCCCUAGAGCUUUGAGUCUGAGAUACUAUAGGGUCCUGGGCUGCUGGUCAUAGAAUUUAUUUCCUGUGCAACUCUCUCACGGUCCUUUUGGUCAGCCACCUUCUCUUUGGCCUCAGUUUACUUACGUCUCCUCUGCCUUCCCCACAGCCCCCUUUCCAUCCCUGCAGCCUUACUGAUGAUUACUUCCAAUGCUUGAUCUACUCCAGGACAGGGACAGUACCAUCUUAUUCUCUUUCUUAUCCCUGGGACCUAAAGCACACCUCAUACCCACUGAACACUGAAUGGAAAUGGGCUGUCUUCUCACCUGUGUCCUCUGUCCCCUUUCGCCGAUCACAUAACCACCCUGGGUCUCAUUUCUCCUCAUCUGCAGACCGAGGAGGCUGAUGUGCCCACUGGCUUUCAAAUUGCAUUUUGAGAGCCCUACAACAUCUUUGGGUCCUAACUCCCAGCUUUAAUGAGAGCCAUGUUUACACAGCAUGUUGUUUUCAUACACUGUAAACACUGACCGUUCUGAAAAGUAUUUCUCUUAAUGGAGUUUGAAGAUUUGGCUGUUCAAAAAAGUUUGAGAUCCCGGGCUGAUUAUUGCGUUAUAUGUGAUGAUUGCAUAAAGGUGCUGCACGGUUUC
rnacentral:lncRNA from 1 species